GAAGACACAGAUUAAACUCACUUUUUAAACUUUAAUUUUAGACUGAAUUCUCCUGCAUUGAUCCAUUUCACCCAGCAGACAAACGGGGCCCUCCGGUGACUCCUGGAUCUGAUCACCUGACCUCCCCCGUCUACCUGGAACCUGAUCCUGCAACACCAGCUGUGGAGGCCGAGGAGUGAAGCACAGGACUGCUGUCAACAAACAGUUGGGAAAGGUUACGGCGACUGCAUCACAUUCAUAACACAAGAGAAAACAUUGGAUUAAAAGGAUGUGGACGCAUACAGGGCUCUGUGUCACCUGUCCUUCAACCCCCACCAAACGCCAUGUGGACACAGGAGAACAGCCAAGAACAGGCACUGGGCUGUGGACCUGUGAAGCCCAAUGUUAUUCUACAACUGUGGUUUCAGUGAGAGACAGACCCACGUCCAAUACACUCUUUGUCACUGA